AUGUCAAAAGGACAAAGACACAAAAACACACACGUAAAAACACACACACACACACACACACACACACACACACACACACACACACACACACACACACACAGCAGCAGAAUAUAUAGGAGGUCUUUAAAAGACUUCCCAGCAGCACAUUGCAGCCUCAGAAGAUGUAUGUGUACAGUUUGCACCAGAACCCGUGUGGACUUGUUGUGUUUGGACCACGGCACACACAGUUUCAACAGCAAAGUGAGUUCGCCGGCCCGGCUACCAUGACAGGCUGAGGGAGCGUGAUCCGGUGGCAGAACGUGUUUACAGCUGAAUACAUAUCGGAUGUCCAUGUCGGAAAAUUUGUCAGGAGGUUGAAUUUAAAUAUAUGCAUCUGUAUAUUUGGACCUGUGUGUGUGUGUGUGUGUGUGUGUGUGUGUGUGUGUGUGUGUGUGUGUGUGUGUGUGUGUGUGUGUGUGUGUGUGUGUGUGCCAGUCUCUUUGGCUUGUAGACAGGCAUGCACCGAUUUAAUCACUCCCCAGGCAGAGUAUGGGGGAGGUGGAGGAGGCUGUGAGGCAGAUAGGAACAGACAAACGCGACAAGGCGAAAGAAGGAGGUAGAAGGCUCGCCCUGAAUGCCAGCCUCGCUGCACAGUAAACACAAGCUUGCACACACAGGUGCACAUGCAUGUAUAUUAAUAUAGCUUCAUGUGCUUCACCAUCGCAGAAGCUGUGGUAGUGAAUAUAACAUCACAUGGGCUCUUCUAGUUCAUGUGAUCUGUUGAGUGCCUCGUAAAUGAGGUCUUUGUGUGUUUGUUACGUGUAACCUGCCCUUUGUGAGCGUAGACCUGUGCCUUUGUGUGGGCUUGAGGCGGGUAUUGUAUGCAUUUAGUCCCAGCCAGAGGUCACUAAUGGAGAGCAGGGUGGUAAUGGGCCUGGGCAGUUGUGUAAUUGCAUCAUGCCUAACGCAAUAAGCUAAAGGUCAGCCUGCCCCAGCUGACUUCUGUCCCGGCGUUGACCUGAUGAGAGACUAACCGUGGCACCGCACCUCCAACAAGCCAUGCAGCACCAAGACAGGAACCAAUAAACAGGAACCGUCACCUGGGGUCCAUUUUUACGUUUUUAGGAGAGAAAAUGUCCCACUUGUUUACAUGGGGGGGGGGUCCUUGUACUGUAAAGAUGUUGUUCUGGUGAGUUUAGAUCUCUAAUUCCUUGUCACGUCUCUGCGUCUGGCUGUGAUGAGUGUCUUCCUGUGAACAUGCAUCCUUGUUUAUGGUCUGUGGGAGAAGGCCGCAGUAGAGACGACAUGAACUAACUCCAUGUGUAAAAGCUGCAGCUAGCAAUCAAACCUGCAACCUUCCUGCUGCGGGGCAACACUGUGACCAGCUGCACCACCACGCAGUCCCAAGGCAGAUCGGACUCGGGUCUUGUCAUGUGGUCGAAGUGAGAUUUUCUCUGAUUGGAUCGUUUUACUUCAGGUGACGCCUAGACACUCAAAUACAUCCCACAGUUUACUCCUCUCAUUCAUCUUUCUGUUGGUGUGAUGUCUGACAUGGAACACUCAGACGUGUCACAACCAUUUCAGACAUGAUCAAAUCAUUUCCCUCUCCGUUUCAGAGUCGUGUUGGUGUAGGGAACACAUCUCCAAGCUUUUGGAAAUAAAAAUUCAAUUUCUCUAAAGAAACAUUCAGUUUGCACAUAAGUGGUUAACAUAAAACUACAGAGACCAACGCAACGAAGGUGAGUUCACUUUUCUUUCUUUAGGGGACCGUUUCGUUUUUUUUUUACUGUGCAAAGACAAAUUAUUUAGCAUUUAUUUUAUUCUUUCACCUUUACUCAUAGAGGUAACGUUAGAAUCAUUAGCAUUAGCAUUGUUUCCAUGUUAGCCAGAUGCUGCUAUCUGCUUCAGCCUCAUGCUGUUAUUUAGUACAUCAGGAGAAUUAAACUCCAUGUUAGGCCUUUGUGAGAAUAAAUCAAUAAUGUUGCGUGAACAGAGCCCUUUUUUAUCCAUCACACACACACACAUG
rnacentral:lncRNA from 1 species